rnacentral:lncRNA from 1 species
UUUUUUUUUUUUUUUUUUUUUUUACGAAGGGUCUCACUAUAACACUCAGGCUGGCCUUGAACUCCUGGAGAUUCUCCUGCCUCAGCCUCCCAGUGCUGGGACUACAGCUGAGCACCUUCACACUCAACUUUUGACACAUUAUUCACAAAAUUGGGACAAAUGUGGGACACUCUGCAGGGUAAGGGGGUGCUCUGGUCCUGACUCUGGGACCCCGUGUUGUAUAUAGGCACUCCCCCACCUCCUCACACUUGGCAUAGGAGAGGUUUAUGUUAUGCACUAUUUUAAAUUAUACCUUAAUGAUUUACAUAAAUUAAACAUUGAAAAUAAUCUAAAUAAAACCAAGAAAAAACAUUCAUUUGUCAAAUAGACAAUAAGUGCAUAACAGAAUAAUAGCGAACACAGUUAAAACAUGGCUUAAUAAUAUUGGGGGGUAGGCCUGGCUUUGCUCAGGGGAUGUGUCAUUAUUUUCAAAUCUUUCUAAACUAGAUUCAGAGAAGACUGAAGAGAGCUCAUCGAGAUCUCUCCAUUUGGUUCUCUGUCCCCUUCAGUCCAUUCUAUUAAUAAUAGCAAAGAAAAAAAUACACUUUUACAGAAAUUCAAUUCAAAAGACUUUCUGAAAUCAUGUAUUCACGCAACGCAUUCCUGAGUUCACAGUAAUUCCACGAAGUGUAUUUGGCCCAAAUGAUUAAAGACCAAAACAGCCAGCGUCCCCAGCCUCGGGGAGGAGAAGUCUAACUGAUCAAUCUGAAUAAUGGCCCAGUUCCGAGACCCAGCCAGCCUUCCCUGGGUCCGGUGAGCAGUACGGGAAUCCUUAUUCCUUUCUCUGGUGGGAGCCUGGGAUUCGCUGUUAUUACUACUGCUCCCUGUGUGGAGUCACCAAUCCCCAGUGACUCUCUGUCGGGAUUACCAAGGAUGCCUCUGUUACCAACUUUAUUUUGGGUCUAAUAACCUAGAUUUUCAUGCCAACUCCUUUUGCAGACAAGGACCGGAGGAGCCCCCGGAAGGGAAACUGGCCCUUCAGCAGGACUCCCACCGUCCACGGCUCUCUGCUCUGGCUUCUGUGGGCUCAGUCAGGGCAUUCUGCUGCCCAAUGUGCCAACCUGAACUCUACAAAGACCGUGAAACACACAUAAAAAGGACAAAACAACACAAUCGAGAGAAGAGAAGACAUCAAGAUGAGAAGGCAGCGAGAGUCUUCGAGAGAGCCAGAGCAGAUGGUGGUAGUGACUGAGGGAGCCUGGAGCCAGCAGAGCCCUUCCCUGGCCGGGGGAAAUCGGGAAUGGCACGGUUUAUGCUGUGGAGUCCCUAGGAAGUGGCAGCUGUCGUGUGAAGCUGGAGGGCAAUGGAAAACCUAGGACAAGGAAGUGUGGGAGCAGCUGUCACAGCGCCACAGAAAGGUCCGGGCGCCCUCUCCAGUGCCAGGUGUUUCCUGGAGAAAGUAAAGCCCAGGGCUCUGGCUCUGCAGGUGGGGCAGGAGGGGAGCACCCUGCAAAUUAGACAGUCCUAGAAGGACUUUGUCAUCCAGACCGGAAAUGGGAGGCUCAGGCAUCUGGAGCAGCCCAAGAGGGGAGAUGCAGGGAGGGAGACUCGGACCUCAUUAGUAUCAGGCCACCGGGCUCCCGACCACAGGCUCCGGGUUGGCAAAGCUACAUUCACAGCUGUUUAAUUGCUCACUUUUCGGGGGAGGGAGGCAAAGGGCCUUGCUAGGUAGCCCAGGCUGGCUGACAUCCAAGAAAAACUUCUAACACAACAGGACAACAAACAAAACAAGAAAGAAGUAACAUGAAAGAAAAAAACAACUACAGAGGGAGAGGAAAACAAAAUAGAGCCUAACAAAACUAAUUAUUAACUUCCUCAGUGAGAUAAUAGAUAACAUCGUACAUGUGCAGAAGGAACCAGAUGUAGUAAAAACUAAUAUUCAGGGGAAAAAAGUUUUUGGAAGUUUAAAGUACUGAUAGUAGACAUAAAAAAAAAAAGACUGCACAGGUGUAGCUCAGUGCCUGCUUAGCAUGAGUGAAACCCUUCAGUCUCCAACACACAAAGAAUAAAUGCAUAAACACUUAAACAAAUACAAAUGUUGGAAGAGCCCUUAGUGUUGUGACUUGUGUCUAGAUGUCCC